rnacentral:rRNA from 1 species
UACGUAGGGGGCUAGCGUUGUCCGGAUUUAUUGGGCGUAAAGAGCGUGUAGGCGGCUAGGUAGGUCUGCUGUGAAAACUCGAGGCUCAACCUCGAGACGUCGGCGGAAACCAUCUGGCUAGAGUCCGGAAGAGGAGAGUGGAAUUCCGUGGUGUAGCGGUGAAAUGCGCAGAUAUCAGGAAGAACACCCGUGGCGAAGGCGGCUCUCUGGGACGGUACUGACGCUGAGACGCGAAAGCGUGGGGAGCAAACAGG